UCAAUCUAUCUUAUUUGGGUACACAACAGCUUAUAUUUUUAAGAAAACUCAAGAACACACUUCUGUGAUUUGUUGUGUAUUAUGUUGAUAGAUCUGUGGUUAGGGAGCACACUUGGAUUACAUGUUUCUCCUUUCGGCCCGCUUGCUUGUUUGUUAAUGUCCAUCUUUUUUGAACUAUCAUGCAGAAACUUUAAUCUAUUGUGCAGAAUACAUUUCUUCAGAGAAACCGUUGGUCGUGUGCAGAAUAUAUUUCUUCAGAAAAUGUGUUAUUGUGCAGAAACUACAAUGAAGUUGUUGGGGAGAAGAUCCAGUGAACUCGGCUACAUCGGGUUGGGUCAAAGUUACUGGUCCUUCGAACGGUCUAUUGUGCGUCGAAAGUCACGUUCAUCUCUGGCAAAUUCCACCGUAGCCUCGGUCGUACAUGUGCUUCGAUCUAUUUUCGUAUUCUUUUCUUGGGUGUUUGACAAAUGCUUCACAAACUAAGCUCAUGUUAAACAUGCACAACUAUUAAUUCGCAACAGCAGUGCCACGGUUCAGUUCAGCAUGGGGACCAACUACCUCUACAAUGUCCACUCCUAUUGGUCUCUGACCUGUCAAACAAGAAGAGAUGGUGCAGCUAGCUGCUGAAAAGGAGAUGACCGUGGUCCUAUUGACAAGAGGAGAUGACGAAGACGCAGCAGACCAAGCCUUUGCGUUCUCCAGUCUCAUGCACAAGGAGUUUCGCAAGAUGGCCAAUGUUGUUAGGAACCAGGUCACUCGCAACUACUACAUGGCUGACUUGACCAAACCCGCUCUUGCAAGACUUCAAUUUACUGCAACCUGGUAAUUUUUUUUUUUGAAAAGGAGGUUACUGCAACCUGGUAAAUGAUGAGUAUAAUGAAUGAUGCGCUCAUUACACUGGUUGUGCGAGUAGGUUCAACAUUUGUACCGCAUGACUAUGUUUCCAGAA